rnacentral:rRNA from 1 species
GAGUUUGAUCUUGGCUCAGGAUGAACGCUGGCGGCGUGCCUAACACAUGCAAGUCGAGCGAAGCGAUUUCGAGGAAGUUUUCGGAUGGAAUUGGGAUUGACUGAGCGGCGGACGGGUGAGUAACGCGUGGGUAACCUGCCUCAUACAGGGGGAUAACAGUUAGAAAUGACUGCUAAUACCGCAUAAGCGCACAGGACCGCAUGGUCUGGUGUAGAAAAACUCCGGUGGUAUGGGAUGGACCCGCGUCUGAUUAGCUGGUGGUGGGUAACGCCUACCAAGGCGACGAUCAGUAGCCGACCUGAGA